rnacentral:rRNA from 1 species
UCCUAGCCUUUUAAUUGGAGGCCUGCAUGAAUGGCUUGACGAGCGCCCUGCUGUCUCUCUUCCCAUGAACUUUUAAAUUAACUUUCGCGUGCAAAGGCGCGAAUGGCUGAGUUAGACGAAAAGACCCUAUGCAUCUUUACUGAGAGAGAAGAAAGUUCUUUAGCUUGGUUUAGCUGGGGCAGCUGAGGAAAAGGCAAAAUUUCCUUAAUAUAAAUCAUACUGGUGGGUUUAGAUCCAGGCUCUUUAGCGGGCUUGACAAGUAGAAAAGUUACGCUAGGGAUAACAGCGUUAUCCUUCUGUGGAGGUCUUAUCUGCAGGAGGGAUUGCGACCUCGAUGUUGAAUUAGGGAUAUACCAGAAAGGCGCAGAAGCUUUUAUUGUGGG